rnacentral:rRNA from 1 species
AACGUAGGACGCGAGCGUUAUCCGGAGUGACUGGGCGUAAAGGGCGUGCAGGCGGGGUCGCAAGUGGCUCGUGAAAGCGCCCGGCUCAACCGGGCGAGGUCGGGUCAGACUGCGGCGCUGGAGGGCGCUAGAGGGACACGGAAUUCCGGGUGUAGUGGUGAAAUGCGUAGAGAUCCGGAGGAACACCAGUGGCGCAGGCGGUGUUCUGGGGCGCACCUGACGCUGAGACGCGAAAGCAUGGGGAGCGAACGGGAUUAGAAACCCCCGUAGUCC